UACGAAGGGGGCUAGCGUUGUUCGGAAUUACUGGGCGUAAAGCGCACGUAGGCGGGUUUGUAAGUAGGGGGUGAAAUCCCCGGGCUCAACCCGGGAACUGCCUUCUAGACUGCAAGCCUGGAGGUCAGGAGAGGCGAGUGGAAUUCCGAGUGUAGAGGUGAAAUUCGUAGAUAUUCGGAGGAACACCAGUGGCGAAGGCGACUCGCUGGACUGAUACUGACGCUGAGGUGCGAAAGCGUGGGGAGCAAAC
rnacentral:rRNA from 1 species